AGUGAACGCUGGCGGUAGGCCUAACACAUGCAAGUCGAACGGCAGCACAGUAAGAGCUUGCUCUUACGGGUGGCGAGUGGCGGACGGGUGAGGAAUACAUCGGAAUCUACUUUUUCGUGGGGGAUAACGUAGGGAAACUUACGCUAAUACCGCAUACGACCUACGGGUGAAAGCAGGGGAUCUUCGGACCUUGCGCGAUUGAAUGAGCCGAUGUCGGAGUAGCUAGUUGGCGGGGUAAAGGCCAACCAAGGCGACGAUCCGUAGCUGGUCUGAGAGGAUGAUCAGCCACACUGGAACUGAGACACGGUCCAGACUCCUACGGUAGGCAGCAGUGGGGAAUAUUGGACAAUGGGCGCAAGCCUGAUCCAGCCAUACCGCGUGGGUGAAGAAGGCCUUCGGGUUGUAAAGCCCUUUUGUUGGGAAAGAAAAGCAGCAGGUUAAUACCCCGCUGUUCUGACGGUACCCAAAGAAUAAGCACCGGCUAACUUCGUG
rnacentral:rRNA from 1 species